rnacentral:rRNA from 1 species
AUUGAACGCUGGCGGCAGGCCUAACACAUGCAAGUCGAGCGAGCGGCGGACGGGUGAGUAAUGUAUGGGGAACUGCCCGAUAGAGGGGGAUAACUACUGGAAACGGUAGCUAAUACCGCAUACUAUUGGAGCGGCCGAUAUCGGAUUAGCUAGUUGGUGGGGUAAAGGCUCACCAAGGCAACGAUCCGUAGCUGGUUUGAGAGGACGACCAGCCACACUGGGACUGAGACACGGCCCAGACUCCUACGGGAGGCAGCAGUGGGGAAUAUUGGACAAUGGGGGAAAGCCUGAUCCAGCCAUCCCGCGUGUAUGAGAAGGCCUUCGGGUUGUAAAGUACUUUCGGCAGGGAGGCGUUAUCUGCAGAAUAAGCACCGGCUAACUACGUGCCAGCAGCCGCGGUAAUAC